GACGAACGCUGGCGGCGUGCUUAACACAUGCAAGUCGAGCGGUAAGGCCCUUUCGGGGGUACGACGAGCGGCGAACGGGUGAGUAACACGUGGGUGACCUGCCUCAGCUCUGGGAUAAGCCUGGGAAACCGGGGUCUAAUACUGGAUAUGACUCCAUGACGCAUGUUGUGGGGUGGAAAGCCUUGUGCGGCUGAGGAUGGGCCCGCGGCCUAUCAGC
rnacentral:rRNA from 1 species